rnacentral:lncRNA from 1 species
AACGGAGAUUACCAGAGUAUUUAUCACUAAAUGACGUACUCAUUCUCACAGAAUUUUAUUUUUGAGCGAAGAAAAUUUUCAAACGAGAACUAUAUCGUGUCAAGUACAAGCGUAGCACGCCUGGAAUCGAUACAAAUCUUGCGAAUUGCACGACGGUAUUUUGAAAUAAAUUUUACGAAAGAAAGUAAUAAUCUGCUGAAUAUUACUGUGAGUGGAAUAUCAUGAAAUUUAUUUUCGCUAAAAUUAUUCGGUACAAUCCGAGCUUGGCCGUGUAUCCGCAAAUAGACGCAAACGAUUCAACUUCUGACAGAUAGGGCACCAGGUCAAAUUAACUACCUCCAGUGUGCUCGAAAAUAACGGGCUUCGGGUGUGUACGUAUCUUCUCUAUGCGUACAGGUGCACGACUAUACGCGGACGUGUGCAAUUACGUUUGUACCGACACUUUGGUACUUGUCAUAAGAACAGGAAGUUCCGCGUGAUAGCGUAGUACUAGAAAUUGUACCGUGUAAGGUUAAGAUUGAUCCUACGAACGCUGGGGAGUGGGGAGAUUCGUCGAACCCACUAGGUAGAAAAUACUGAGAAUGUUAUUUCUGUUUUAUGGACCAAUACCCAUUUUCAAAAACGAUUUUUCAAAACACAGUCGUUUGUUAUGUAUUAUUUUUGAAAUUUUAAGCACUCCAAAAUAGUAUUGAAGAUGUGAGCUUUAGGGUUAGGAAUAUUUUAAUACCGUUACGCUAAUUUUAGUAGGUUAUGGAAACUAAAAUUAACAAACUUAGGAGUUAAUCAACUAAAUGAAGCAGUAUCGGAGAAUCUAAGUUCGAAACAAUGCUUCCAUUGGUCACGAAAAUAUAUGUCCAUGAUGGAGCAAAUUAAAACUGAACACAUGCAAUAGCAAUUGUAACAUGAAGUUUUCUGACAUGAACAAUUUUUAUUGUACAAGGUUCGAGUGCUAUUUGGAAGUAUGUGAGUGUUAAAAGGAUAGAGAAGUUUGAAAGCGAUUAAAAUGUUAAAUAUAGCAAAAGUAAUUAGAGUAUAGUAUGUACAAUGUGCUGAAAAUACAAUUUUGUUUAAAAAUACAUAUUCAUGGGUAUUUUAAAGUAUUUCAUAUUUAAAUUAAAAUUUCAUUCGUUAUUAAUUAGCAUAUACGUGUGUCACCUUUUGUAUCACUUCAUCUUUAAAUAAUCUCUUUCAGUUUUUUAAACAAGAGACAUGUCUUCGAACUUCGUAUUUAUACCCACUGAAAGUUUAUUGACAUGUUAUGUUUAAAGCAGGUAUACAGUACUAGCAUCUACUAUUUUUACCUAUGCGGAACAAGUCAUCACUUAAAUAACCAAUAGGAAUAGAUAGAAAUUAAAUUCGAAUUUAGCACAUUUUACCCUAAAACAAAGAUCAAUGCCAUAGAAUGGAGGUGCUCAAAGUGUGGGUCUUAAUCCAUUAAUAGGUCAUGAGCUCAUUUCGGAUCGAUCGUGAUAAACAUGAAAGUACAACAAAUUUUUAAAUAAUAAGAAUCGAGGAAUUUUGGAAAAUAAUGCAUCACACACGAAUGGGUCACAAAAUGUUCUUUUCGAAAAUGGGUCUCGGACAAUAAAAGUUUGCCCCGCCACAGAAAAUUUGCAGCAAAUUUCUUAUUAUAAUAAUUUCACUUAUAUCUUAUUGAAAUGAAUGCGCUAAAAGAACCAAGACAAAAUUAGGACAUUGCAAAAAUGAGGUUAACCAUUCAACGAUUGCGGCUUGGCCGAUUCUAUAACCUCUCUAAACAUUAACAAGCGUUUCAUUUAAAACUUCGUGUAACGAGAAAAAGAUAUAUACGUUAUUAAAAUCUUGAUGACGACUCGAUACUGCGGCGGUGCUUGUUGAUGCUGAGUUUGUUGCUGUUGUUGCUGUUGAUGACUCAGGUGGUUAAUAUUGACAGUCA